rnacentral:rRNA from 1 species
GACAGAGGGGGCAAGCGUUGCUCGGAAUUACUGGGCGUAAAGGGCGCGUAGGCGGGAUGGUAAGUCGGUCGUGAAAUCCCUCGGCUCAACCGAGGAACGUCGAUCGAUACUACCGUUCUUGAGGAUUGCAGAGGAGACUGGAAUUCCCGGUGUAGCGGUGAAAUGUGUAGAGAUCGGGAGGAACACCGGUGGCGAAGGCGGGUCUCUGGGCAGUGGCUGACGCUGAAGCGCGACAGCGUGGGGAGCAAACAGG